rnacentral:rRNA from 1 species
GACGAACGCUGGCGGCGUGCUUAACACAUGCAAGUCGAACGGUGAAGGGACCAGCUUGCUGGUUCUGGAUGAGUGGCGAACGGGUGAGUAACACGUGAGUAACCUGCCCCCUUCUUCUGGAUAACCGCAUGAAAGUGUGGCUAAUACGGGAUAUUCUGGGUCUGUCGCAUGGCGGGCCCGGGAAAGAUAUUGCUUCGGUGGGGGAUGGGCUCGCGGCCUAUCAGCUUGUUGGUGGGGUGAUGGCCUACCAAGGCGGUGACGGGUAGCCGGCCUGAGAGGGUGGACGGUCACACUGGGACUGAGACACGGACCAGACUCCUACGGGAGGCAGCAGUGGGGAAUAUUGCACAAUGGGCGCAAGCCUGAUGCAGCGACGCCGCGUGAGGGAUGGAGGCCUUCGGGUUGUAAACCUCUUUCGCCAGUGAAGCAGGCCUGCUCCUUGUGGGUGGGUUGACGGUAGCUGGAGAAGAAGCGCCGGCUAACUACGUG